rnacentral:lncRNA from 12 species
GCGCACGGGAUCCAGGCCACGGCCAGGCAGGAGGAGGCGGCCUGUACCUCCGCGCCCUGGGCUGACUUUCAGGCCUGGGACAAGCCCCAGGGGCCCCCGCUGCCUUGUGCCAGCCGGACCAGGAGCACAGCGGCACCGGGUCACGGGAGGCCACACGCGUGGCCAGCGUCCCUCUGCCAGGUUCGCAGGAAGGAGCCCUACACCUGGGCCGCGCGCCUGGAGGCCGACUGACAUCUCAGACACGGCAGGUCCUGGGACUCCUGUGAUCAGUGGAAGACUUCUGCAGGCCGGCCCCGUGAUCGCCACUUGGUCCUGCUGCACAUCUCAGGAAGACGUCCCCUGGCCCCUCAGGGUUCCCAUCACCCCCUCUGAAAUCAGAGAGCCCUUCUCAGGGCAGCAAACCUUAGGCUGUCCCAGCAGCCCCUGGGGAUGGAGAGGGUGGAUAUUCACUUCAUCUCUCUUCAAGGACACUGGUGAUAACCUUGACAACUCCUCUCAAGCAGGUAAAGGGACUGUGUCCACCUGGAGGUGAGGGGGGGGCAAGGGGUGGAGGAGGGGACGGGUGUUGUGGAUUCUUUUUUUUUUUUUAAGAUUUUAUUUAUUUAUUCAUGAGAGACACACAGAGAGAGGCAGAGAGAGG